rnacentral:lncRNA from 1 species
AUUAUCUGAGAUGGUAUCAGUUGUUUUUAUUGAUACCAUCGCAACCAACUGCUCGUGCGAUUUUUUUUUCUUUCCUCAUCGCUGGUCUGCAUUUCUCGUUUUCGUCCGCGUCGGAUUCACGCUUGCGGUUUAGGGGAUUCUGCCCGACCGAAUUAGGCGAUUAAUGCUUGCGAUUUGUAUUUUCGAUUUGCGAUCUGACGGAAAAACGUGAAUUCGCGAUUCAGAUCUUCCGCUUCCGGAUUUAUCUAGUUGGAUCUUCUUGCGGAUUAUUUCUUACAAUUUGGGAUUUGAGGUUUUAUUUUCAGAUUCAUGAUCGCAUAAGAUUUUACAAUUUGGGAUUUUUUUUUGGAUUUUUUAUUCUUUCUAUUUAGGAUUCCAGACAGCAAUUUUAUUUUGAAAUUGCAAUUAUGCAACAUCCUCAUG